GAUGAACGCUGGCGGCGUGCUUAACACAUGCAAGUCGAACGAGGAAGCCCAGCUUGCUGGGUGGGCUAGUGGCGAAGGGGUGAGUAACACGAGAGUAACCUGCCCUUAACUAUGGAAUAAGCAUGGGAAACAGUGUCUAAUACCGGUAAGGAGCGUCCACCGCAUGGUGGGCGUUGGAAAGAUGUAUCGGUUUUGGAUGGACUCGCGGCCUAUCAGCGUGUUGGUGGGGAAAUGGCACACCACGGCGGGGAGGGAUAGCCGGCCUGAGAGGGGGAGCGGCCACACUGGGACUGAGACACGGGCCAGACUCCUACGCGAGGCAGCGGUGGGGAAUAUUGCACAAUGGGCGGAAGCCUGAUGCAGCGACGCCGCGUGAGGGAUGACGGCCUUCGGGUUGUAAACCUCUUUCAGUAGGGAAGAAGCGAAAGUGACGGUACCUGCAGAAGAAGCACCGGCUAACUACGUG
rnacentral:rRNA from 1 species